GUGAAUCAUCGAAUUUUUGAACGCGAAUUGCGCUUCCUGGCAUCCCGGGAAGUAUGCCUGUUUGAGGGUCAGUAUUAAUAAAAAACCGGUUGAUUUACAAAUUGUGACGUUUCGGGGGUUUGUGCUAUCGUAUCAUUUUUGGUUAAGAGGCUUAAAAUUGACCUUUUUUGCUCUUGUGUAAAUUUAAAUAAAUUUUCUUUAGUCGUCUAUUCUUAAUGCCAAAAUCUUAUUAACUGCGAUC
rnacentral:misc_RNA from 1 species